rnacentral:misc_RNA from 1 species
GCGGCCUAGGCCCUCCCCCGACCGCCCCCUUUGCUCCUAGCCCCCGGCUCCAGCCGAGCCGCGCGGGGCGGGAGAUAAAGCGCCCGCGCGGCGGCGACUCAGGCCAUUGCCGCGACCUUGUCCUCCGGCGCGCUCGCG